rnacentral:rRNA from 1 species
CUACGUGCCAGCAGCCGCGGUAAUACGUAGGGUGCGAGCGUUAAUCGGAAUUACUGGGCGUAAAGCGAGCGCAGACGGUCACUUAAGCAGGAUGUGAAAUCCCCGGGCUCAACCUGGGAACUGCGUUYUGAACUGGGUGACUAGAGUGUGUCAGAGGGAGGUAGAAUUCCACGUGUAGCAGUGAAAUGCGUAGAGAUGUGGAGGAAUACCGAUGGCGAAGGCAGCCUCCUGGGGUAACACUGACGUUCAUGCUCGAAAGCGUGGGUAGCAAACAGGAUUAGAUACCCUGGUAGUCCACGCCCUAAACGAUGUCAAUUAGCUGUUGGGCAACUUGAUUGCUUAGUAGCGUAGCUAACGCGUGAAAUUGACCGCCUGGGGAGUACGGUCGCAAGAUUAAAACUCAAAGGAAUUGACGGGGACCCGCACAAGCAGCGGAGCAUGUGGUUUAAUUCGAAGCAACGCGAAGAACCUUACCAAGACUUGACAUCC